UACGGGGGGAGCAAGCGUUGUUCGGAUUUACUGGGCGUAAAGGGCGGGCAGGCGGCCACCGCAAGUCAGUUGUGAAAUCUCUGGGCUUAACCCAGAAAGGUCAACUGAUACUGCGGGGCUAGAGUGCAGAAGGGGCAACUGGAAUUCUCGGUGUAGCGGUGAAAUGCGUAGAUAUCAGGAGGAACACCGGUGGCGAAGGCGGCAUC
rnacentral:rRNA from 1 species